rnacentral:rRNA from 1 species
UAUAGAGGGUGCAAGCGUUAAUCGGAAUUACUGGGCGUAAAGCGAGCGUAGUCGGUUAUUUAAGUCGGGUGUGAAAGCCCCGGGCUCAACCUGGGAAUUGCAUUCGAUACUGGAUAGCUAGAGUUCGGCAGAGGGAAGCGGAAUUUCCGGUGUAGCGGUGAAAUGCGUAGAUAUCGGAAGGAACAUCAGUGGCGAAAGCGGCUUCCUGGACCAGAACUGACGAUCAGGCUCGAAAGCGUGGGGGAGCAAACAGGA